rnacentral:rRNA from 1 species
AAGUGCGAUCAUACCAGCACUAAUGCAUCGGAUCCCAUCAGAACUCCGCAGUUAAGCGUGCUUGGGCGAAAGUAGUACUAGGAUGGGUGACCUCCAAGGAAGUCCUUGUGUUGCACCUC